rnacentral:rRNA from 1 species
GUCUACAGCCAUGACUAUGGAUGCACCUGACAGUAUCUGAUAAGGAAGUUAAAUAGUCUUGUGCAUAGUUAGCUCUUGCAUGGAGACCACUUAGGAAUAGUGGGUGGUGUAGACG